rnacentral:lncRNA from 1 species
CAAUUAUAGGAGCUCUGACGAGUUUUGCCCAGAAGCCUAGCAAGGUGAAAUUGGUGUUUUAGGGAGGUAUGUCAGGCUUGGCCUUGGCUUGGGAGGAAGAACAGAAGUCAUAUGCCAUGAAGUCUUCCGUGGGUUGGUUGCAGUGCAACACCCUGAAUUACAGGCUAAAUGUCUACAGUAGUCAGAGGCUUGCUGAGAGCCGACAUGAUGUUCCCAUGAGCAGGAUGAAUCACUACAAUCCUGAUGGAAAUAGGUUUUCGAGGAGGUCUGAUUACUUUGGGAUCAAACUCAGGACCUUGCACUUGAGAGGCAGGUGGCAGAACCACUGAGCUAAAUCCCUGGCCCAGGAAAAAGGUUUGAAACCUGUGACAUUUUUGUCUUCACUGGCCAUCUCGCUGAUUUUCACCAGGACAGACUGACACACUUGGAGAAGCUUAAUCCACACACCAUAGUCCCCACUGAUUUUAUGGAAACCAAUUCUGUUCCUUCAGAAGAUACAUGAGCUGUCGGCACAUGCCAGAGGUCACAGUGCUGUCUUGCUGACCAAAGGGACUCACAACUGGAUAAAAUGUCAUGUUUGCAUGCCUGUAGGUAGGCACAUCUCACCUGUUUUUUACAGUCUUCCAAUCCUUUGUUCUACCUUUUCCCCACACAGUGUCCUACUGCAUGAACCCUGAGGCUGUUUAGAUUUGUGAACUGUAACUUAAAUAUUGCCUUAAAACCUGUAUGAUAGAUAUGAACUUCCUGUUAUAUAAUCUCAUCCCCGACUGUAAAGAUGGCCAAAAUUAAUUUUCUUUCAAAUUUCAUUCUAGGGGCUGG